rnacentral:rRNA from 1 species
AUUGAACGCUGGCGGCAGGCUUAACACAUGCAAGUCGAGCGGGCGAGGUUGCUUCGGUAACUGAGCUAGCGGCGGUCGGGUGAGUAAUGCUUAGGAAUCUGCCUAUUAGUGGGGGACAACAUUCCGAAAGGGAUGCUAAUACCGCAUACGUCCUACGGGAGAAAGCAGGGGCUCUUUAUGACCUUGCGCUAAUAGAUGAGCCUAAGUCGGAUUAGCUAGUUGGUGGGGUAAAGGCCUACCAAGGCGACGAUCUGUAGCGGGUCUGAGAGGAUGAUCCGCCACACUGGGACUGAGACACGGCCCAGACUCCUACGGGAGGCAGCAGUGGGGAAUAUUGGACAAUGGGGGGAACCCUGAUCCAGCCAUGCCGCGUGUGUGAAGAAGGCCUUUUGGUUGUAAAGCACUUUAAGUGGGAGGAGGCUUACCUGGUUAAUACCUGGGCUAAGUGGACGUUACCCACAGAAUAAGCACCGGCUAACUCUGUGCCAGCCGCCGCAGUAA